UACAGAGGGGGCAAGCGUUAUUCGGAAUUAUUGGGCGUAAAGAGCGCGUAGGCGGUGUUUUAAGUGAGAUGUGCAAUCCCCGAGCUUAACUUGGGAACUGCAUCUCAUACUGGAACGCUAGAGUACCGGAGAGGGUGGUAGAAUUCCACGUGUAGCGGUGAAAUGCGUAGAGAUGUGGAGGAAUACCAGUGGCGAAGGCGGCCACCUGGACGGUAACUGACGCUGAGGUGCGAAAGUGUGGGUAGCAAACAGGAUUAGAUACCCUGGUAGUCCACGCUGUAAACGAUGAACACUUGGUGUGGCGGGAGUUGACCCCUGCCGUGCCGUAGCUAACGCGAUAAGUGUUCCGCCUGGGGAGUACGGUCGCAAGGCUGGA
rnacentral:rRNA from 1 species